GCCAGUUAAUAUGGGGAGAACUUCUCUAUCUGAAUCUUUAACUACGUUGCUCCUUCAGUUCCCUUGACAAAACAGUUUUGCUCAAGAAAUACUGUGGACCCUCAAUGACCCAGAAGCCUACCACAGUUGGGGGAAGAAGCCACAAGACGAAAACAAUGGGCAGCAAGGAAGCAGAUUCUCCUCAGAACCUCCAAAAGAAGUGUUUUAGUACUUCUGACUUCAGAAAGAUCACAAUCUGAGAGCAUGGGGCUGGAAAUUUCCUGUCCAAACAUACCUGGGCCUGUUUCCAGGGACUGGAAGGGUCUCUUCUCUGGAUCUGUUCCUCUUGGGAUGGAUUACAAAUGACAUGCUGAGGUCUGACAUGCCACCAAGAAGGUUUGUGAGCAUGGAUGUGGGAGGAUGGAGCUUGAUGGCCACAUACAUGUUGCCGGGCCCCUUCUGAUGAAUGAUCGCAUGGAGCUGGGACAUGAACAAGGACAG